GUAUGGAAUUUUUUUCCUACUUUGAUUGGGGAAGUGUUUAUAAGAAAAACACCACAAAGCUAUGGAAUAACUAAAUGUGUCUAAACAGUUAGCCUUUACUCAAGUCCAAUAUGUAAAACCUGUCAAUAUGCCUCAUGUAUUUAAUUAUAGUUCAGAGAGUGUCUAUAGAACUGUGAUAGAAGUUUAAUAAGAAUAUUCUGAAGAAUCAUCCCCUCUCUUUUAUUUUAUGAGACAGGGUCUUAUUUUGUAGCCUAGGCUGGCUUCAAACUUACACCAACCCUCCUGGCAUCACCAGACGUUACAGGAAUGAGCUACUACAAUGAAGUAUCCAGAGCUGUCUUCCAGAAGCUAAUGAUGUCGCCAUCCAUGAUUAAGAAAGGAAAUGCAACAGGAGCAGCAGGUCUCCUGCCUCUGAGACACCGCUGGAACCUGAAGGGACCGACCAGAUAAACAGUUCUCUGCACCCAAAUCCCGUGGGAGGGAGAGCUAAACCUUCAGAGAGGCAGACACGCCUGGGAAACCAGAAGAGACUACACUCUGCCCACAUCUCUGACUCCAGAGGAAUACACCAAACGCCAUCUGGGACCCGGUGCACGGGGGCUCCUGGAAAGGGCGGUGCAGGUCCUCCUGGUUGCUGCCCUCGCGGAGAGCUCAUAAGCAACACCCCAGGAGCAAACUUGAGCUUCGGGACUACAGCUUCCUCUUGCUUCAGCCUCCAUUUUAUCCCUGAUGCUGCAACCUAUUUUCCACUCUUCCUCCUUGACUUCAAGCAUGUUCUCAGCUUGGCCCGUGUAGAUUCUACUGGCUUAGACCCACAAGAAUACAGGUACUACCCACACCAAGAAAACCCAAUAAUUAUUAAAAGCAAUCAAGGCUAUAUAAGAGAGGUCAGGCCUCCUGAGGUUAACAGUAGCUGUUAGAGCUACAGAAUGACCAGUCGUGAGAAUAUAAGCGAUUCUAGUUCUGACACACUGUCUGAUCUUGACUCUGAUGAUGAGUCAAUCACUACCACUGAAGAAGAAAGCACUACAAGCCAGACAGAAAGGCUUUGCUCUAAUCGUGUGGAAACAACCGUGCAUGAAAAGUUCCCCAAACUAAUGCAGAAUAUAAAAUCAGUGCUUGAAAAGAAUUCGGAAGGUGAAAAGAAAAGAAAACGCACCAUCUUGGUCUUUUACUACCGGCAGAAGUCAAAAAAGAAACAAAAUCAAGAAAAAGCAAAAGAGAAGGUCCAGAAACAAAAUCAAGAAAAGGCAAAAGAAGAGGUCCCAGAAGAAUCUAAUACUUCAUGUAGUACUGAGUCUUUAUCUGAGUCAUCCACAAACCCAGAAUCCUCUUCAUCUGUCCUUCCAAAACGUAGGCGGAAGUGGUUUUUUCUUUAGAGACCAAAUAUUAUACCCAUACAUAACAAUGUUUGGAAAUUGUUGAUUAAAAUAUAAUAAAAUGCCUUGUGAAAACUA